rnacentral:rRNA from 1 species
UACGUAGGUGGCGAACGUUAUCCGGAAUUAUUGGGCGUAAAGGGUGCGUAGGCGGCUUGAUAAGUUAUUGGCGGCAAAUCGAGGCUCAACCUCGUGGAAACUGAUAAUACUGUCUUGCUUGAGUGCAGAAGAGGUUAACGGAACUCCAUGUGGAGCGGUAAAAUGUGUAGAUAUAUGGAAGAACAUCAAUAACGGCGAAGGCAGUUAACUAUUCUGUUACUGACGUUGAGGCACGAAAGCGUGGGGAGCAAAAAGG